rnacentral:lncRNA from 1 species
GUGAAGCCUUCCCAACAACCCUCCUUAAAAUUGCUUUCCUUCAGCAYUUCCUAAGCCCUUCUCUGUUUUACUUUUUUUUCAUUCUAUACAAUCAUCUUUUUCUUUUUUUGGACUAGGGAUUGAACCCAKGAGUACUUUACCGCUGAGCUACAUCCCUAGCCCUUUUGUAUUUUGAGGCAGGCCCUUACUAAGUUGCUGAGGUUGAGACYGGCCUUAAAUUUGUGAUUCUUCUGCCUGUGCCUCCUGAGUCUGGGAUUACAGGUGCCUGCUUCUCUUCUCUACUCUUCAACUCUGUUUUCCCUAAAACAGAACCUGUUUUAGAAGGAGUUACUAUUGAGUGUCUCUUCCUGUGUCAUCCAAAUACCCUGGAUUUACUGGGAAAUGUUGAGAUUCUGCAUAGCAUAGAAACCUGGGCUCCGGAUYCAGGACAGAAAGCCUACAAAAAGAUCGAAAAGAAAAUGUGUACACUACUUGCAAGUGACAAAGAUAAUGUGAGUGAUGAGU